ACUUAUCAGGAUUUUCCUUAUCCCUGGUCUCACACAGCUCUCAUUCCUUGUCAGGAUUUUCCUUAUCUCUGGUCUCACAUAGCUCUCAUUCCUUGUCAGGAUUUUCCUUAUCCCUGGUCUCACACAGCUCUUAUUCCUUGUCAGGAUUUUCCUUAUCCCUGGUCUCACACAGCUCUCAUUCCUUGUCAGGUUGCCCAGGGAAGAGAUCCUGUGAGAAAACAACCAUCUCCAAACGAGGAGGAGAGGCCUCACCAGAAACCAAGCCCAUCAGUACCUGCUUCUUGGACUUUCAGCCUCCAAAACUCUGAGAGAAUUAGUGUCCAUGGGUUAGCUCACCCAUAGGAUUUUGUGACCCUGUCUAAUCAACACAGACUCCCAGCCUUUUCCAGCCCCAACAACGCUGUGUAUGUCCUGCCACAUUUUUAAGAAGGGCAGAUGUCUAGAAGGUGAGGGCAACUGCACCGUGGAGCAAGGCCGAGGAUGCAGAACCACAGAUAUGUACUUCUUCAAUGCCAGAGAUGGGUAUCGCUACAACCACACUAAACUGGACUGCUCAAAUGAGUGUAAGGCUUGGAAAUUGGCUCGUGUGUCGCACAUGGCAUCCGUCUUUUGCUGUCAAGGUCCGGCUUAUUGUAAUAAAUAUCGAGGAAGAUCUUUGCGGUGGAAGCCAAAGUAACUGCUAAGUCCUUUGCUAACAGUCUGUCUCCUGGCCCUGAAUUUCUGGUCUUGUGUCCCCCAUACAUCCUCUUGGAGCACAUAGUAUCCUCUCUUCCUCUUCUCUCCUUACUCUGUCCUGUGCACUCUUGGUUUCUAGUCAUGUCUCCUUUCUGCUUCAUUCCCAUCUCUGAAUCACUGCCACCCUUCCUGACCUGGUGUUCCUGACUCCUCACACUCAGUGCGCUUCUUUGACAGGCUGACAGCCUGGUUUCUCAUCCCAUCAACUCAGAAGUGCCUGUAAUGUGCCUAGUUUGGUGUAACAGUUUCCACUGUGUACAUCAUGAGUUUGGGGGUUCAGUGGAAAACCCAGAUAGUGCCUAGUGGCUGAUGAACAGGCCUGAAAGUCUAAGAAAUAACCAUAACUCUGUCACAAGAGUAGAGGCCGUUAGCUUUAGAUAAUCCACAUGUUCCUGGAAUCUUGGUUGCUUCCCUCAUGAAAUUUGCAGAAACUGUCCAAAGAAUGGAAUGGUGAUUGGGUGGGGUGGAUCAUGUACACUGAACACCAUCAAAAUAAGGAGUGGGAGAAGGUCACUCCUGAAGCAUUCAUGCAAGUAGAUGGGGCAGCAGGAUGGAAGAGGGGGCUGUCUUUUCCUAUGAUAACUUUUAGGUUCACAGGAGAAGCCACAGCACAGUGGCUUGAGGAUCAAAAAGAAACAAUGAGUGUGGGUAAUUCUCCCAAGAAGUUUGGGAAGAACUGAAGUGGAGUACACCAUUUUAUGAGGAUACUGACCUUAAUAAGUUUUUAGGCAAAGAAAGGUUUAUGCUUUGUGAAAGUGCCUCUUUUAUUAUGAAUGUCAGAAAAGCUAUCACAGGGCUGGAUGGUGGCGCACCUGGUUGAGCACACAUGUUAUAGUGUGCAAGGACCCAGGUUCGAAUCCCUGGUCCCCACCUGCAGGGUAAAAGCUUCACAAGUGGUGAAGCAGGGCUGCAGGUGUCUCUGUUUCUCUUUCCUUCUCUAUCACCCACUUCC